rnacentral:lncRNA from 1 species
UGGAAUAGUAAGAGCCUUCAUGCAUGAAGGGAUCACAAUACAGAAAAGAAAAUAAAGAAAUAUCACCCAUUAGGAAACAGGGCUUUUGUCCACUUGAAAUAAGUUAGAGUUAUUUGGGAAGAGGAUCUUCAAUCGAGAAAACACCUCCAACAGAUUAUCUGUAGCCUUUAAGUGAGUGCUUGCUAUAUGCCACAAGACUGGAGGAGCAUCAAAUGGACAGAGACGCAUAGAGGAGGAGUGGAGAAAUGAGAUGAAGAUAUGGCAGCGGGAUUCAGAGCUGGGAGGAUGCUAGAGGAAGAGAAGAGGCCACAACAUGUCACUGCUUAGACGCAAAGCUCAGUAGGGGACGUGGCAGGAGGCUAAGAGUUAUCACUCAAGAUGGAAGACUGAUGUGACCAAGGAGCCCAGACCAUGGUACCACUCACACUCAGGAUGGGUCUUCCUACCUCAGUUAAACCUCCUUGGAAAAGACUUCAGGCAUGCUCAGAUGAGUGUGCCCAAAGUUAUCUGGAACCCCACCAAGUUAUCUGCCAACAUUAACCAUCUCCGGUGUUAUAGGGUAGGUGUGCUAUGUCAGGAGAGACCCAGUACUGGAAACAAACCAAGAUCUUAUCCUGGACAUGUUACACGCAAGGGGAUGACAGGCUAACACAAGAUGAAAUUAAUG